UACGGAGGGUGCGAGCGUUAAUCGGAAUUACUGGGCGUAAAGCGCGCGUAGGCGGUUUGUUAAGUCAGCUGUGAAAGCCCCGGGCUCAACCUGGGAACUGCAGUUGAUACUGUCCGACUAGAGUACGAGAGAGGGAGGUAGAAUUCCAUGUGUAGCGGUGAAAUGCGUAGAUAUAUGGAGGAAUACCAGUGGCGAAGGCGGCCUCCUGGCUCGAUACUGACGCUGAGGUGCGAAAGCCAGGGGAGCAAACGGG
rnacentral:rRNA from 1 species